rnacentral:tRNA from 1 species
GCCUGGGUGGCUCAGUCAGUUGAGCAUCUGACUCUUGAUUUCAGCUCAGGUCAUGAUCUCACGGUUCGUAGGUUCAAGCCCUGCAUCGGGUG